rnacentral:sRNA from 1 species
GCUGGGUGUGGUGGCGCAUGCCUGUAAUCCCAGCAGCUCAGGAGGCUGACACAGGAGGAUUGAGAGUUCAAAGCCAGCCUCAGCAAAAACAAGGUGCUAAGCAAUUCAGUGAGACCCUUUCUCUA